ACCUCAAAUCAGGUAGGACUACCCGCUGAA
rnacentral:rRNA from 1 species